ensembl:lncRNA
GGUUCGUCAAUCAAAAGUAAGUCACGUGACAAUUCAGACUCGAGUGAUUGGCUCAGUUCUGGAACCAUGUGACCACGGAGUGUGCUUCCACAGACAGCAUGCUCAACUACAUUUAAAACAUGCAAAUGUUUUCUGAGAUGUAAGAACUGCUCGGGUUCUUUAAAGAUGUUUUGCUUCAUAACUUCUAAGAAGAUGUGUGUGAGUGUUACCCGUGGCUUUUUCUCCAAACUUGCAUUUGAAACUCAAUCUAAACGUCUUGCUGCUGUCCAACAGAUGAUCAUAAAUCCUGCUUUGACCUUCUGGAAAUCUUACAAACAAGCAGAUCUAGCCUGCGUAGUGCAUCACGUCUGGCCUCAUCUGUGGCUCCUCUCCCGGAAAACUGCACCGUUACUCCCGGAGUGCGGAAGGACGGCUUCGGCAAAGACUUGCGGUGUAACUCCGGGGAGAGCGGAGCGGGGCCCGACCCGGCGGGACUUUGGUGGCGAGCUGGCGGCUGCUUCACGAGCGCUUCGGAGUGUGACGCUUUCCUCUUGGGCAAGGCUUCAUUUGAAGUCCUGUUUGAGCUGGAGUUGUCCUCUUUUACUGGGGCGAUGGUUUGGGUGUCGUGGUCUCGAUGGGAGCGGUACUCCUCCCUGAAGGACAAUGUGGGGUUCAACAUGAUGCUCUUACCACCGUAGCUGUUAAAAUCACUGUGUGUGACUUCGGCACUCGUCAGAGCUGGUGCGGGGCUGUGGCAGUGGUCUGCGCUAGUGUUGAGCGCAGUGCCGGACUUGACGCUUUUCGAAUGCGUGACGGAUUGCG